rnacentral:rRNA from 1 species
AUUGCACGCUGGCGGCAGGCCUAACACAUGCAAGUCGAACGAGUGGCGGACGGGUGAGUAAUGUCUGGGAAAAUGACUGAUGGAGGGGGAUAACUACUGGAAACGGUAGCUAAUACCGCAUACCAUCGGAUGUGCCCAGAUGGGAGUAGCUAGUAGGUGGGGUAAAGGCUCACCUAGGCGACGAUCCCUGGCUGGUCUGAGAGGAUGACCAUCCACACUGGAACUGAGACACGGUCCAGACGCCUACGUGAGGCAGCAGGGGGGAAUAUUGCACAAUGGGCGAACUCCUGAUGCAGCAAUGCCGCGUGUAUGAAGAAGGCCUUCUGGUUGUAAAGUACUUUCAGCGGGUAGGCGUUACCCGCAGAAGAAGCACCGGCUAACUCCGUGCCAGCAGCCGCGGUAAUUC